rnacentral:rRNA from 1 species
ACCGUGAGGGAAAGGUGAAAAGCACCCCGGAAGGGGAGUGAAAGAGAUCCUGAAACCGUGUGCCUACAAAUAGUCAGAGCCCGUUAAYGGGUGAUGGCGUGCCUUUUGUAGAAUGAACCGGCGAGUUACGAUCCCGUGCGAGGUUAAGCUGAAGAGGCGGAGCCGCAGCGAAAGCGAGUCUGAAUAGGGCGUUUAGUACGUGGUCGUAGACCCGAAACCAGGUGAUCUACCCAUGUCCAGGGUGAAGUUCAGGUAACACUGAAUGGAGGCCCGAACCCACGCACGUUGAAAAGUGCGGGGAUGAGGUGUGGGUAGCGGAGAAAUUCCAAUCGAACCUGGAGAUAGCUGGUUCUCCCCGAAAUAGCUUUAGGGCUAGCCUUAAGUGUAAGAGUCUUGGAGGUAGAGCACUGAUUGGACUAGGGGUCCUCAUCGGAUUACCGAAUUCAGUCAAACUCCGAAUGCCAAUGACUUAUCCUUAGGAGUCAGACUGCGAGUGAUAAGAUCCGUAGUCAAAAGGGAAACAGCCCAGACCGCCAGCUAAGGUCCCAAAGUGUGUAUUAAGUGGAAAAGGAUGUGGAGUUGCUUAGACAACUAGGAUGUUGGCUUAGAAGCAGCCACCAUUUAAAGAGUGCGUAAUAGCUCACUAGUCGAGUGACUCUGCGCCGAAAAUGUACCGGGGCUAAAUACACCACCGAAGCUGCGGAUUGAUACCAAUGGUAUCAGUGGUAGGGGAGCGUUCUAAGGACAGUGAAGUCAGACCGGAAGGACUGGUGGAGUGCUUAGAAGUGAGAAUGCCGGUAUGAGUAGCGAAAGACGGGUGAGAAUCCCGUCCACCGAAUGCCUAAGGGCGAUGGACAACAGGUUGAUAUUCCUGUACCACCUCUUUAUCGUUUGAGCAAUGGAGGGACGCAGAAGGAUGAAGCGUGCGAUUGGUUGUGCACGUCCAAGCUUAGGCUGAUAAGUAGGCAAAUCCGCUUAUCGUGAAGGCUGAGCUGUGAUGGGGAAGCUCCUUAUGGAGCGAAGUCUUUGAUUCCCCGCUGCCAAGAAAAGCUUCUAGCGAGAUAAAAGGUGCCUGUACCGCAAACCGACACAGGUAGGCGAGGAGAGAAUCCUAAGGUGUGCGAGAGAACUCUGGUUAAGGAACUCGGCAAAAUGACCCCGUAACUUCGGGAGAAGGGGUGCUUUCUUAACGGAAAGCCGCAGUGAAUAGGCCCAAGCGACUGUUUAGCAAAAACACAGCUCUCUGCGAAGCCGUAAGGCGAAGUAUAGGGGGUGACACCUGCCCGGUGCUGGAAGGUUAAGGAGAGGGGUUAGCGUAAGCGAAGCUCUGAACUGAAGCCCCAGUAAACGGCGGCCGUAACUAUAACGGUCCUAAGGUAGCGAAAUUCCUUGUCGGGUAAGUUCCGACCCGCACGAAAGGUGUAACGAUUUGGGCACUGUCUCAACCAGAGACUCGGUGAAAUUAUAGUACCUGUGAAGAUGCAGGUUACCCGCGACAGGACGGAAAGACCCCGUGGAGCUUUACUGUAGCCUGAUAUUGAAUUUUGGUACAGUUUGUACAGGAUAGGCGGGAGCCUUUGAAACCGGAGCGCUAGCUUCGGUGGAGGCGCUGGUGGGAUACCGCCCUGACUGUAUUGAAAUUCUAACCUACGGGUCUUAUCGACCCGGGAGACAGUGUCAGGUGGGCAGUUUGACUGGGGCGGUCGCCUCCUAAAGUGUAACGGAGGCGCCCAAAGGUUCCCUCAGAAUGGUUGGAAAUCAUUCGUAGAGUGCAAAGGCAUAAGGGAGCUUGACUGCGAGACCUACAAGUCGAGCAGGGACGAAAGUCGGGCUUAGUGAUCCGGUGGUUCCGCAUGGAAGGGCCAUCGCUCAACGGAUAAAAGCUACCCCGGGGAUAACAGGCUUAUCUCCCCCAAGAGUCCACAUCGACGGGGAGGUUUGGCACCUCGAUGUCGGCUCAUCGCAUCCUGGGGCUGUAGUCGGUCCCAAGGGUUGGGCUGUUCGCCCAUUAAAGCGGUACGCGAGCUGGGUUCAGAACGUCGUGAGACAGUUCGGUCCCUAUCCGUCGUGGGCGUAGGAAAUUUGAGAGGAGCUGUCCUUAGUACGAGAGGACCGGGAUGGACGCACCGCUGGUGUACCAGUUGUUCUGCCAAGGGCAUAGCUGGGUAGCUAUGUGCGGAAGGGAUAAGUGCUGAAAGCAUCUAAGCAUGAAGCCCCCCUCAAGAUGAGAUUUCCCAUAGCGUAAGCUAGUAAGAUCCCUGAAAGAUGAUCAGGUUGAUAGGUUCGAGGUGGAAGCAUGGUGACAUGUGGAGCUGACGAAUACUAAUAGAUCGAGGACUUAACCAU